UCGCUGCGGGCCGGGGAGGCUCACUUUAGCGGCAGUAGCCCGAGUCGUACCCCCUCCUUCCGAACCAGAAGCCCCCUUCGCUCACGAACUUUGGAUUGCUGUCCCGAGCGAAAAUGCAGGACAUCUCUGCUGUUUUUGUCGGAGGCGUGACGUCAUCGGAGGAAGACAGAGCCGCAGCUCGCUCUAUUAAUAUCAACAAGGAGCCAUCGCGACUCUUAAAGGGACACGCACAAGUUCGUGUGCACGCCAAAUUGGACCAUGCAUGCACCGAUGACAACCCAAGUGAAUCCCUUCAAGGUUGCACUGAGAAAAAAAAAAGUCUGUCAUUCUUUUUUUUUCAAAAAACACCAGCCCUUGAAGUGACCCACACAAUAAACCGACCAAACCUUUUGCUAUGUA